CAAUAGCGUAUAUUAACGUUGUUGCAGUUAAAAAGCUCGUAGUUGGAUUUCUGGAGGGAGCGUCGGCCCGUAUUUACGAGUGCGUGACGUCUCUGUCCAUCCUUGCGGGAAGGCACGGCAUUGAUUUGUUGUGUCGGAUCGCAUCAUUUACUGUGAAAAAAUUAGCGUGUUCAAAGCAGGCUUUCGCUUGAAUACAUUAGCAUGGAAUAAUAAGAUAGGACUUUGGUGCUAUUUUGUUGGUUGAGCCUAAAGUAAUGAUUAAUAGGGAUAGUUGGGGGCACCUGUAUUGCGUUGUCAGAGGUGAAAUUCUUGGAUUUACGCAAGACAAACAGCUGCGAAAGCGUCUGCCAAGGAUGUUUUCAUUAA
rnacentral:rRNA from 1 species